rnacentral:rRNA from 1 species
UACAGAGGGUGCGAGCGUUAAUCGGAAUUAUUGGGCGUAAAGAGCUCGUAGGCGGUCUGUCGCGUCUGCUGUGAAAACUCGGGGCUUAACCCCGGGCCUGCAGUGGGUACGGGCAGACUAGAGUGCGGUAGGGGAGACUGGAAUUCCUGGUGUAGCGGUGAAAUGCGCAGAUAUCAGGAGGAACACCGGUGGCGAAGGCGGGUCUCUGGGCCGUAACUGACGCUGAGGAGCGAAAGCAUGGGGAGCGAACAGG